rnacentral:rRNA from 1 species
GAUGAACGCUGGCGGCGUGCCUAAUACAUGCAAGUCGAGCGAACGUACGAGAAGCUUGCUUCUCUGAUGUUAGCGGCGGACGGGUGAGUAACACGUGGAUAACCUACCUAUAAGACUUGGAUAACUUCGGGAAACCGGAGCUAAUACCGGAUAAUCUUUUGAACCGCAUGGUUCAAAAGUGAAAGACGGUCUUGCUGUCACUUAUAGAUGGAUCCGCGCUGCAUUAGCUAGUUGGUAAGGUAACGGCUUACCAAGGCAACGAUGCAUAGCCGACCUGAGAGGGUGAUAGGCCACACUGGAACUGAGACAAGGUACAGACUCCUACGGGAGGCAGCAGUAGGGAAUCUUCCGCAAUGGGCGAAAGCCUGACGGAGAAACGCCGCGUGAGUGAUGAAGGUAUUCGGAUCGUAAAACUCUGUUAUUAGGGAAGAACAUAUGUGUAAGUAACUGUGCACAUCUUGACGGUACCUAAUCAGAAAGCCACGGCUAACUACGUG